rnacentral:lncRNA from 1 species
CGCGGGCGGGAUGCGGCGGGGGCCAGGCUGGCAUCUAGUAGUGUCUCCGGGCGGGCACGGGAGUUCUCCACCAGAUAUCACCAGAGAAGCCACUGAAAGACUUAAGAGACUCUCCUAAUACAGAACCGUAUUUUGGCUUCAUGUCCUGUGACCUGGCUAAGGAGAAGAUCUGUAAGUAUUGUUAGUAAAGGUGUUGAAUCCUUGUUAAAAUUGUCAUGCUGAAAUGUUUUGCUUAUUAGAUCUAUAGUAUA